GACGAACGCUGGCGGCGUGCCUAAUACAUGCAAGUAGAACGCUGAAGGAGGAGCUUGCUUCUCUGGAUGAGUUGCGAACGGGUGAGUAACGCGUAGGUAACCUGCCUGGUAGCGGGGGAUAACUAUUGGAAACGAUAGCUAAUACCGCAUAAGAGUAGAUGUUGCAUGACAUUUGCUUAAAAGGUGCAAUUGCAUCACUACCAGAUGGACCUGCGUUGUAUUAGCUAGUUGGUGGGGUAACGGCUCACCAAGGCGACGAUACAUAGCCGACCUGAGAGGGUGAUCGGCCACACUGGGACUGAGACACGGCCCAGACUCCUACGGGAGGCAGCAGUAGGGAAUCUUCGGCAAUGGACGGAAGUCUGACCGAGCAACGCCGCGUGAGUGAAGAAGGUUUUCGGAUCGUAAAGCUCUGUUGUAAGAGAAGAACGAGUGUGAGAGUGGAAAGUUCACACCGUGACGGUAUCUUACCAGAAAGGGACGGCUAACUACGUG
rnacentral:rRNA from 1 species